AUGGGAUCAGCACUCUCCUCCCCCGCGCCAAUGGGUGCUGCAGAACGGCCCACGCCCACUGCCGUUCGCCCGGGGCUCCCCUGGCAGGCUUCUUGGUCUUUGUGGGGGCUGCAGCACCUCCACUUCACCGUGAUGUGGAGUCCUUCGCCCCCAGGUGACCCACGCUCCACAGCCCCGGCCAGAACUUGGGGUGGGGGGCGGGGGGUGUUUGAUGGGGAGGGGGCACAGUCCUUUCGGGCCAACUUCCACAUUCCUGCUCCGCCCAGGCCGGGGGUGAGUCGGGGUGAGCAGCCGGCUCCAAGCUGGCCGGCUUCCUGGAAAGGGAGGGCCAGCGGGAGAACUGCAAAUCCUCCCAGCCCUGGUGGCUGCCCGCCUCCUCCCUACCCAUUCCUCCCCACCCCACUUCCACCCCUACUCCCCAGCAAGCUGGCAGCCCCGCCCCUGCCAGGCGGCUCACCUGCCCGCGACCAGGGCACUUCCUCCUCCUUCCCCGCCCAGCCUCCCGCUACAAGCCAUGGGUUUGCAGCCGGGUCAGCAGCUACAGGCUGUGUGACCUCAGGCAAGUUGCUAAACUUCUCUGUGCCCAUUAUCUCCCCCUGCGAGAUGGAGCUAGCAACAAUCGGGGUGCAGAGCUUUCCGCGAACACCGCUGCACUUCCCUCUUCCCUGCUCCACCACCUUCCCCUUCCGCUCGGUUUGGCAGGGGCACAGGGGAUGCACAGAAAAGGCGCCCGACUGUAAAUUGCCGCAGGGGAAGGCCGUGUUGCGUCCCUCGCCGGGGCACUGCCCUCCGUUGCAGCCUGAGACUUGGGUUAGACCCGCGGCUUUCCCGUUGGAGGUGCGGGUGGUGCUGAGCUGCUGGACUGGCGCUGCCCGCCGGGGGUCGGCGCGCAGGCACUCAGAUGGCUCCCACCUCAGCCUGGGCCUCGCAGCUGGCGGUGGGGCGGGGCGCAGGCGCUGGGUAGGGGAAGGCUUGGGUCCGGCCACCCAGUGGGGGUCAGCCCCAGCGCCGGUUUCCACGGGGCCGCGCCGGAGGGGCGGAAUCUGGGUUUCGGUUUCUUGCAAACGCGGCGGCAACAGGGAAAUAGAGGAGUUUCCGGGAACUGAACUGCGCUGGGAGCGCUAA
rnacentral:lncRNA from 1 species